AUGUGUAGUUUGCACGAUCCAAAAGCCAGCAUGCUACACACGCGUCUCCCACCUCCAGUCGUCGCCCUCCCAUUUCCACGCGCCGCCGCCGUCCUCCCGCUUCCACGCGCCACCGCCGGUCCCCCGAACCACGCGCCGCCGCGGCUGGGCGCCUUAUCCGGAUCCUCCACCUCCCACCGUGGCUCCUCGCCGCCACCACGGGAUCCCGGCAGCUCCCCCAAGCGCGCCGUGUGCGGUCGCCGGCACCCCACCGCGCGACGCCGGCGACAUCCCGCACCUCGCGCGCCGCCGCGAACUUACUCACGUGCUACCGCGAACCGUCGCCUCACUCCUGCGCCAACCCACACGUCUCACCGUGAGACACCGGCGGCCACCCCCAUGCCCCAAAGCGCGCCGCCACGAACUUCCCCCCGCGCCGCCUCGAACUGCUCCGUGCGCCGUCGCGAACCUCUGCCUCACUCCUGCGACAGGUCGCCCGACCCAACCGGGCGCCGCAGUCAACUAGCCGUUAGCCUUUCCUCCCGAUUGCCUUUCUCUCAGAUGGCAAGCACAUGCCUCCUCUACAUCUCUUCUUCCAUCGAGCGACUACCAUAUAGCGUUUACUUGGGGUCCAAAAGUAGCGCCCCGUUGCCUCUAACCUCCAGCCUUGACGAACUGCACAGACCGGGGACGCACGAGCGACCUCCUGCGAGAUUGGCCCCCGGUAGGCGACGAGCACAGCGAAGGAGCCCAGCGAGGGUGCCUCACCUCUGCUCAUGCGUAGCUCUGGUAGUGUGCCGGAGAGCGCCUUCUGGACGCAGGUUGGAUGACGGUCCAGAUGCUGUACGCUGUUGCGAUCUCCUCCAUCGUGAAGGUCACACCACGUGCACCGUCCUCAGUCCAACCCCAUGGCAUCAGGAUGAUCGAGCUCGUCGCAAGUAG
rnacentral:rRNA from 1 species